rnacentral:rRNA from 1 species
AUUGAACGCUGGCGGCAGGCCUAACACAUGCAAGUCGAGCGGAUGAAGGGAGCUUGCUCCUGGAUUCAGCGGCGGACGGGUGAGUAAUGCCUAGGAAUCUGCCUGGUAGUGGGGGAUAACGUCCGGAAACGGGCGCUAAUACCGCAUACGUCCUGAGGGAGAAAGUGGGGGAUCUUCGGACCUCACGCUAUCAGAUGAGCCUAGGUCGGAUUAGCUAGUUGGUGGGGUAAAGACCUACCAAGGCGACGAUCCGCAACUGGUCUGAGAGGAUGAUCAGUCACACUGGAACUGGGACACGGUCCUGACUCCUACGGGAGGCAGCAGUGGGGAAUAUUGGACAAUGGGCGAAAGCCUGAUCCAGCCAUGCCGCGUGUGUGAAGAAGGUCUUCGGAUUGUAAAGCACUUUAAGUUGGGAGGAAGGGCAGUAAGUUAAUACCUUGCUGUUUUGACGUUACCAACAGAAUAAGCACCGGCUAACUUCGUG